rnacentral:rRNA from 1 species
UACGAAGGGGGCUAGCGUUGCUCGGAAUCACUGGGCGUAAAGCGCACGUAGGCGGAUUGUUAAGUCAGGGGUGAAAUCCUGGAGCUCAACUCCAGAACUGCCUUUGAUACUGAGGAGCUUGAGUCCGGGAGAGGUGAGUGGAACUGCGAGUGUAGAGGUGAAAUUCGUAGAUAUUCGCAAGAACACCAGUGGCGAAGGCGGCUCACUGGCCCGGAACUGACGCUGAGGUGCGAAAGCGUGGGGAGCAAACAGG